UAGAGUUGAUCCUGGCUCGGACGAACGCUGGCGGCGUGCUUAACACAUGCAAGUCGAACGAUGAUCCGGUGCUUGCACCGGGGAUUAGUGGCGAACGGGUGAGUAACACGUGAGUAACCUGCCCUUGACUCUGAGAUAAGCCUGGGAAACCGGGUCUAAUACCGGAUAUGACCUUCUGCCGCAUGGUGGGGGGUGGAAAGAUUUUUUGGUUUUGGAUGGACUCGCGGCCUAUCAGCUUGUUGGUGGGGUAAUGGCCUACCAAGGCGACGACGGGUAGCCGGCCUGAGAGGGUGACCGGCCACACUGGGACUGAGACACGGCCCAGACUCCUACGGGAGGCAGCAGUGGGGAAUAUUGCACAAUGGGCGCAAGCCUGAUGCAGCGACGCCGCGUGAGGGAUGACGGCCUUCGGGUUGUAAACCUCUUUCAGCAGGGAAGAAGCCACAAGUGACGGUACCUGCAGAAGAAGCGCCGGCUAACUACGUGCCAGCAGCCGCGGUAAUACGUAGGGCGCAAGCGUUGUCCGGAAUUAUUGGGCGUAAAGAGCUCGUAGGCGGUUUGUCGCGUCUGCUGUGAAAGCCCGGGGCUCAACCCCGGGUCUGCAGUGGGUACGGGCAGACUGGAGUGCAGUAGGGGAGACUGGAAUUCCUGGUGUAGCGGUGAAAUGCGCAGAUAUCAGGAGGAACACCGAUGGCGAAGGCAGGUCUCUGGGCUGUAACUGACGCUGAGGAGCGAAAGCAUGGGGAGCGAACAGGAUUAGAUACCCUGGUAGUCCAUGCCGUAAACGUUGGGCACUAGGUGUGGGGGACAUUCCACGUUUUCCGCGCCGUAGCUAACGCAUUAAGUGCCCCGCCUGGGGAGUACGGCCGCAAGGCUAAAACUCAAAGGAAUUGACGGGGGCCCGCACAAGCGGCGGAGCAUGCGGAUUAAUUCGAUGCAACGCGAAAGAACCUUACCAAGGCUUGACAUGGGCCCGGAUCGCCGCAGAAAUGCCGGUUUCCCUUCCGGGGCCGGUUCACAGGUGGGUGCAUGGGUUGUCGUCCAGCUCCUGGCCGUGAGAAUGUUGGGGUUAAGUCCCCGCAACGAAGCGCAACC
rnacentral:rRNA from 1 species